UGGGGAAUUUUGGACAAUGGGGGAAACCCUGAUCCAGCCAUCCCGCGUGUGCGAUGAAGGCCUUCGGGUUGUAAAGCACUUUUGGCAGGAAAGAAACGUCAUGGGUUAAUACCCCGUGAAACUGACGGUACCUGCAGAAUAAGCACCGGCUAACUACGUGCCAGCAGCCGCGGUAAUACGUAGGGUGCAAGCGGUAAUCGGAAUUACUGGGCGUAAAGCGUGCGCAGGCGGUUCGGAAAGAAAGAUGUGAAAUCCCAGAGCUCAACUUUGGAACUGCAUUUUUAACUACCGGGCUAGAGUGUGUCAGAGGGAGGUUGAAUUCCUCGUGUAGCAGUGAAAUGAGUAGAUAUGCGGAGGAACACCGAUGGCGAAGGCAGCCUCCUGGGAUAACACUGACGCUCAUGCACGAAAGCGUGGGGAGCAAACAGG
rnacentral:rRNA from 1 species